CCAGGAGCCUCCCAGUGCCCAGGAACACUUGUGCUGCCCCAGGAUGGGUGUUCUGGUCAUGGUGGUGACACACACAGAGCCACAGGGCUCAGCAGGGGCUCAGGGGCUGGCAGGUGCCCCCGGGCUCCGGGGAUACACCGGGCACGAAGGAGCCAGAGGAGUGACGGGCACCAAGGGAAAGCCAGGCCGGCAGGGCCUGGUGGGUGCAAAAGGGGAGCCAGGCAAGCCAGGGAAACCAGGACAAAUGGGCUCUCCGGGACAAGCUGGUCCUAAAGGAUGGAAAGGUCGCAAAGGAGAAA
rnacentral:lncRNA from 1 species